rnacentral:rRNA from 1 species
AAUGAACGUUGGCGGCGUGGAUUAGGCAUGCAAGUCGAGCGAGAACUAGUAGCAAUACUGGGGAAAGCGGCGAAAGGGAGAGUAAUACGUAGGUACCUACCCUCGGGUCUGGGAUAGCUGCGGGAAACUGCAAUUAAUACCGGAUGACGUCUCUGGACCAAAGGUGUGAUUCCGCCAGGGGAUGGGCCUGCGUCCUAUUAGCUAGUUGGCGGGGUAAUGGCCCACCAAGGCUAAGAUGGGUACGGGGUGUGAGAGCAUGCCCCCGCUCACUGGGACUGAGACACUGCCCAGACACCUACGGGUGGCUGCAGUCGAGGAUCUUCCGCAAUGGGCGCAAGCCUGACGGAGCGACGCCGCGUGCGGGAUGAAGGCCUUCGGGUUGUAAACCGCUGUCAGUGAGGAGCAAAUGCAUCAGGGUUCUCCCUGGUGUUUGAGCGAUCCGCAGAGGAAGCACAGGCUAAUUCCGUGCCAGCAGCCGCAGUAAUAC